rnacentral:rRNA from 1 species
AUUCCAGCUCCAAUAGCGUAUAUUUAAGUUGUUGCAGUUAAAAAGCUCGUAGUUGGAUCUUGGGUCGUAAGGGUCGGUCCGCCUACUCGGUGUGCACCUGCCCUUCCGUCCCUUUUGCCGGCGGCGUGCUCCUGGCCUUAAUUGGCUGGGUCGCGGUUCCGGCGCUGUUACUUUGAAAAAAUUAGAGUGCUCAAAGCAAGCUUAUGCUCUGAAUACAUUAGCAUGGAAUAACGUGAUAGGAGUCUGGUCCUAUUGUGUUGGCCUUCGGGACCGGAGUAAUGAUUAAUAGGGACUGUCGGGGGCAUUCGUAUUUCAUUGUCAGAGGUGAAAUUCUUGGAUUUAUGAAAGACGGACCACUGCGAAAGCAUUUGCCAAGGAUGUUUUCAUCA